UACGUAGGUGGCAAGCGUUGUCCGGAUUUACUGGGCGUAAAGGAUGCGUAGGUGGAUAUUUAAGUGGGAUGUGAAAUACCCGGGCUCAACUUGGGUGCUGCAUUCCAAACUGGAUAUCUAGAGUGCAGGAGAGGAAAGUGGAAUUCCUAGUGUAGCAGUGAAAUGCGUAGAUAUUAGGAGGAACACCAGUGGCGAAGGCGACUUUCUGGACUGUAACUGACACUGAGGCAUGAAAGCGUGGGGAGCAAACAGG
rnacentral:rRNA from 1 species